AGAGUUUGAUCCUGGCUCAGAAUGAACGCUGGCGGCGUGCUUAACACAUGCAAGUCGAACGAGAAAGGGAUUGCUUGCAGUCCCGAGUAGAGUGGCGCACGGGUGAGUAACACGUAGAUAAUCUGCCUUCAAGCCUGGGAUAACUAUUCGAAAGGGUAGCUAAUACCGGAUAAAGUCGAUCUACACAAGUAGAUUGAUGAAAGAUUGCCUCUUCUUGAAAGCAAUUGUUUGGAGAUGAGUUUGCGUACCAUUAGCUUGUUGGUGGGGUAAAGGCCUACCAAGGCAACGAUGGUUAGCUGGUCUGAGAGGAUGAUCAGCCACACUGGAACUGGAACACGGUCCAGACUCCUACGGGAGGCAGCAGUGAGGAAUUUUGCGCAAUGGGGGCAACCCUGACGCAGCAACGCCGCGUGAGUGAAGAAGGCCUUUGGGUCGUAAAGCUCUGUCAACAGGGAAGAAGUUACAAUUGUUUAAUAGAUGAUUGUAUUGACGGUACCUGUGGAGGAAGCGCCGGCUAACUCCGUGCCAGCAGCCGCGGUAAUACGGGGGGCGCAAGCGUUAUUCGGAAUUAUUGGGCGUAAAGGGCGCGCAGGCGGUCUUGUCCGUCAGGUGUGAAAGCUCGGGGCUCAACCCCGGAAGUGCACUUGAAACAGCAAGACUUGAAUACGGGAGAGGAAAGCGGAAUUCCUGGUGUAGAGGUGAAAUUCGUAGAUAUCAGGAGGAACACCGAUGGCGAAGGCAGCUUUCUGGACCGAUAUUGACGCUGAGGCGCGAAGGCGUGGGUAGCAAACGGGAUUAGAUACCCUGGUAGUCG
rnacentral:rRNA from 1 species